rnacentral:rRNA from 1 species
GACGAAGGAUGCAAGCGUUAUCCGGAUUCAUUGGGUUUAAAGGGUGCGUAGGCGGACUUGUAAGUCAGUGGUGAAAUCUCUUUGCUUAACAAAGAAACUGCCAUUGAUACUGCAGGUCUAGAGUAUGGAUGACGUUGGCGGAAUAUGACAUGUAGUGGUGAAAUACUUAGAUAUGUCAUAGAACACCGAUUGCGAAGGCAGCUAACGAAACUAUAACUGACGCUGAGGCACGAAAGUGCGGGGAUCAAACAGG